rnacentral:rRNA from 1 species
GGGGCAAGCCUGAUCCAGCCAUGCCGCGUGUGUGAAGAAGGCCUUCGGUUGUAAGACACUUUAAGCGAGGAGGAAGGUUUUAGUUUAAUACACUAAAGAAUUGACGUUACUCGCAGAAUAAGCACCGGCUAACUCUGUGCCAGCAGCCGCGGUAAUACAGAGGGUGCAAGCGUUAAUCGGAAUUACUGGGCGUAAAGCGCGCGUAGGCGGUUUGUUAAGUCGGAUGUGAAAUCCCUGGGCUCAACCUAGGCACUGCAUCCGAUACUGGCUAACUAGAGUGUGGGAGAGGAAGGUAGAAUUCCAGGUGUAGCGGUGAAAUGCGUAGAGAUCUGGAGGAAUACCGAUGGCGAAGGCAGCCUUCUGGCCUAACACUGACGCUGAGGUGCGAAAGCAUGGGGAGCAAACAGG